AUGGUUGCUUAUGAGGGUCGUUGCCUAGACAUCGUUGCCUAGGAUUCUGCAUUACGUUAACACAAGAGCGUUUGACUGAGUUUGCUUUCCUCUCAGGGGUAAAUCAGUCUCCUGCUUUUGGUCAGUUCUCAUGUUCCUCUUAUAGUUAAGGAAUCGCCUUGUAAUCCUUAUCUUAGUACACAGUAGACCACACUGGUGUGGUCCAGAUCAAAUAUCAAUUCCCUGGGAUCAAAGCCUUGAUCAUGGCAUGACUUCGUGCUUCCCAGAAUCCACAUUUGGAAAGGAAGUGCCUCUUUGUAAACCAGGGACCAAAAAUGUGAGGCUGCUAUUCUAGCUGGGUUGGGGACACACCUGAAAUCCCCCUUUGUAAGUUAUUGAGCACUCUUUUGAUCUCCUAAGAAGUUGGACUGGUAUGCAGCCCCACAGAGGCUCAUUCAGAGUCCUCACUGAGAACCUGUGUCAGCAGGUGGAGUUGCAUUUCUAACAUGAUUGUCCCAGAGUCUCCUGUGGUUUUAUAUUCUCAUUCUUCUUUCCUAUAAUUGCUGCGAGAAAUGCAUAGUUAUCAAUUUAGUUAGUUGAAGAAUUCCUUCAUUAAUAUAUAUUGUCCUUCCAUACCCAUGGGUUUCCAUCCAGAGACUCAAUCAACAAUAACACAAAAGUGUUGGGCAAAAAGUUUGUGUUAUUCCCUAAACACUGUGACUAUAUUUACAGAGCACUUUAAGUAUAACCUGCUUCAAAGCAUAAGUGAAGAUAUCUGUGGGUUUCAUGUUAAUCACCCAUUUUAUAUGAUGGAUGUGGUUGUCACUAUCUUUUAGUAUCUUUGGGGUGCUAGAACCAGUCUCAUGGAUGCCUAACAAAAAUUCUGGUCUGUGUGUGUAGUGCAUCAGUAGGCUCUUUGUGCUGUUCAAGUUGUGCUUAUGCUACAAAGAAGGAAUUAUUCAUUCCUGUGUUGCUUGGUGGAUGUAUAACUUGCACAUGUAUGCACACAGAAGUUCUCCAUUCUCCCCAGAUUUUGUCCCAUAAACUAGUACUUUCUCAUUAUAACAAUUUUUUUUCCUAUUGGAAAUUAUAACCACAGAAAGGAAGCGAAAGAAUCUUUUGUUGUACCUAUAACAUUUUGUGAAUCAAUAUAAUAAAUAAUUUUCUGCAUUGACAUUUUUAAUAUAACUUUGCUUAUAUCUGUCAGAAGCCACAAAUUAUAUAGUCCAACUUCAAAUGAAAAGCCACAUUAUCUAGUAUGUAUAGAAAAAAAAAGAAACUUUGGUCAAGAAUGACUUAAUAUAAAGCUACACAAGCUUUCUGCAUUCUGGCUAGUCCUCAUAGUGCUGGAAGAUGCUGCUAGGAGGGGGUGACAUUACGCAGCUAUGAACCCUGUAGUUUGUACUACUGACCUCGGAGCAGGAUAUGCCCACUGGUGCAGUACAGGCAGGACUAAUAGGGUAACCAACUGUUUCCUUACUGAUUUGAGACCACUCAUCAGGAGGAAUUUUAUGUCUGGUACUGUAAGCCUGGUCAGAAGCCCAUGGCAGAAGAGGUCAUAUGCCCUGCUGGGGAAGCUACUGCUGUUGUCUUGCUAAAAGGACACGAUGCACCUGUCAGAUUACACCCAAUUAUUUAUGUUGAUGCCCACAGGUCAGUGCUAUUGUCAGUUUUUGUCAGAAAAGCUGCUUUCUGCACUGGAUGGCAGCUACUAUACAGGCUUAAAACUGAUCUAAGCAUUGAAAAUAAGUUCCUGUUAAGCAUUUAGCCCUGAGAAGGCUUCAUGUCACCCCUCCAGUCUCAGACAAUAUCAAGAGAACUAGAAAGGAGAGGUUAGGGAACCGCUGGAAUCCUACCCUGUGGGUGUGGCAUCCUACCCUGUGGGUGUGGCAUAGCCAUUGCUCCCUUGAACUCUUAGCAGCUGUGAUUACCUACGAGAGCCCUGCACAUCAGUCUUGCCAGCAUCCUUUCAUGGAGAGGGAAGGAGUAACAGGCUGCAGCAGCCCUGAUCAUCUUCUCAGUGGUCAAUGGCUGCAGAGGGUGGGGGACAGCAGCUGAUAAGAUUCCCAUGCAUUUGUGACAACCAAGCCCAUGUUCUUGAACCUUCAUUAAACUCAUGGGUGUACAAAAAAUACAAUUAAAAUAUGAAUUUUAAAGAACUGUCACCAAGCUUGUUCAGAAUGGUAGAGGAUACAAAGCAAUUAUUUCUCUAAAAGUCUAUGCAAAGUAAGUUUCUUCCAUUGCAGUUUGCUGAUACAUGAUUGGCCAGUGCAGAACUGUUGGAUGCUUACUUAAGCCUGAAACAUAGAACCUACCUUUCUUAUGUGUUAAAGCCAGUUGGCAUCUGAGCUCUCUAAGGCGGUAUUCUUCAGUCUCACUCUGAAUUCCUAUCAGAUACAUAGUGGUUCCAGUAUGUCACACACAAGGUCAUCUUCCCUGAAAUACAAUGGCCAGGUAGUAACCUGCUUUGUUAAGAAUUUUAAUGGUAUUUGGUGGAAAUAAGGUGUUGAAACAGAUUGGAGUUUGUGCUCGAUACUGGUUACACAAAUUUCCAUGCAUGCCUCUCCCUGUUUGCACAUAGUCUCAGGAGCAUGUGUGAAGGAAUCCUACAUCCUAGGCCAGAGCCAUGUUCUCUUUCUAGUCAUGUCAGCCUUCUCCUCUUAUCCAAGGACCUGUCCUAAGAAACACUCCGGGAAAUGGUAACAGAGGCCAUGAUUGCUUUAUUAAAAUUAAAAUACUCCGAAGAGUAAGCUAAGACUUAGUUAUUGUGUAUUUGAUACCUUGGUUAUAAAUACCUUUUGUGAUGUACAUAUUUUUAAAUAUUUUUAUGACACUUCAAGAAUAUUUUAUUUAUGGCCAGCAAGCUUGUUAUGUACAGUUAAAAUAUAGAAGGUGAGAUCAGGCAUGACUCCCAUCCAUGAUUCUAACACUUGGAAAGUUGAGGGAGGAGGAUUUCUAUAGAUUCAAGGCCAAUCUGGGCCAUGUAGUAAGCUCUAGGCCAGGCUGGUCUAUAGAGUAAGAUUGUCUCAAAACAAAAGAGGUGUGUGUGUUUGUGGGGGGGUUAUGCUUCUAGUCACGUGUAUGUGAAUAUGCGUGUGAAAGGGACUUUGGGUCCCAGUUUUGACUGCCUAGCUUCUUUGUUUCAUGGGCUCUGUUGGGAACUGCAGUGUUUGCUUAACCUUCUGCAUCUCCUCCUCCUUUGUGGCAAAAAUUCCUUUAGUUUCACUUUAUACCAUCAGAUUGAGUGAGUGUGCUUGCUUACUCUGCUGCUUAAUGAGCCAUCGCCCUGUUGGCUCACACUCAUUUCCUUCAGCAGUGUCUUUGUUGUGUCCCGGGGCCACACCACCCAUUUUCCUUUCCAGCGUUUUUUGUUUUUUUUUUGUUUUUUUUGUUUUUUUUUUUGUUUUGUUUUUUGGUGGAAUAGACUCUCAAAAUCAGAAUUUUGAGUUUGAAAGAGCAAACAUGUUGUGGGAAAUGUUAAAAAAAAAAAAAAAAAAAGGAACCGACGGGCUUCCUGUGCUACCACCAGCGACCAGCGGACCACAUGGCUCCAGCUGGGUGAUCUCAACUGGGCCGUCUCUCUAUUGGCCGGAGCUCCUGGGUUCCUUGGCAGAUCUUUGCCGCCAGGCCCACACAGUGUCCAUCCACUCCAUGGUCAGCCAUCACAACAUCCAUUUACCUAGUAGAAUCAGAACUCUUAAAACUUAAAACAAACCAAUCGGAUUUAUGUACCAAUAAAUUUUCUAUUUACAGGAUGCCAAUACAAUAAUUUCAGAGCCAGUUUGUCAUAGUCAGGGUUUCUAUUCCUGCACAAACAUCAUGACCAAGAAGCAAGUUGGGGAGGAAAGGGUUUAUUCAGCUUAUACUUCCAUACUGCUGUUCAUCACCAAGGAAGUCAGGACUGGAACUCAAGCAGGUCAGGGAGCAGGAGCUGAUGCAGAGGCCAUGGAGGAAUGUUCAUUACUGGCUUGCCUCCCCUGACUUGCUCAGCCUGCUCUCUUAUAGAACCAAGACUACCAGCCCAGAGAUGGUCCCACCCACAAGGGGCCUUUCCCCCUUGAUCACUAAUUGAGAAAAUGCCUUACAGCUGGAUCUCAUGGAGGCAUUUCCUCAACUGAAGCUCCUUUUUCUAUGAUAACACCAGCUGUGUCAAGUUGACACAAAACUAGCCAGUACACAGUUGAUAAUGAUAAAAGUUUUAUCCCAAUUAUUCUAACCUUAUGAUACCAUAUCUACCUGUGGGUGGUUCAAGCCACACUGAUUCAUGUCUGCCUCCAUUCUCCCCCUCUUCAGAAGCUGUCUCUGCAACACUUAGCUCCGCCUCCCUUUUCCCUGUCCAAUCACAGGCCUCCUCCUCACUAAUGUACUUGGACAGGGAAAUCCUUUGACUAAUCAUCCUUUCUGUUUAAUUAAAUUAAAAAAAAAAAACUUUUCUCUCAAAAUAUAAAUUGAGCACAGCUAUUACCAUGUUGUAACGUAUAAGGUAUAAGAUAGACCUAACACCCAGUCCAACAUUUUUGUCAAUAAAAUAAAACCCUGUCCUCUAUUCUAACUUAAAAGACUAUAAUUCUGCACCUGACUUCUGUCUUGAUUUCAGAUUGAAUGCCAUCUGAAAACUAUGCUCUCAAAUCUGUUCUCUCAAAGUAAAUAGCCUGGGUUGGCUAUGAGACUGUAAGUAGUUUUUCAACCCCGUCAGAAAUCUGAGAAGGACCAACAUAUCUGAAGAUAUAGGAAGCCUAGCGCAGCUUCCAGAACUGAGACAAAUUGCAGAGCCAGCUGCCCACCUAUACAGCCCCAGUAAGUCAGGAAGUUGGAGCAUCUGUCUGUCUUCAGCCUUCUGGCCCAGGAUCAUCUGACAGACCUUAGAGAUAAAGGAAUAUUAAAGACUAGCCUACUCUGUCUCGGCAAAACUAAGCUGCUCUAACCCGUAAAUUGUCUCCUUUCAAGAACAGUACAGGUCUGCAGGAGAGAUUGGCAAUUUUUUGCCCAGUGGCGACCUAGCCAUAAAUGUACAGCCUCACCUGGAGGUAAGAUGCUCAGUUGUUUCUUUGAGUCUGGCUAGCUCAGUCAGUAGAGCAUGGGUUUGUGCCUUGGCCCCAUCUGUUGCAGAAAAUAUUUAAAAAAAGAACCGGCAGGCUUUCCGCACUACCACUGGCAACUGGACGGACCACAUUGCUCCAGCCAGGUGAUCUCAACUUGGCCAUCUCACUCUUAGCUGGAGCUCCUGGGUCCAUUGGUGGAUCUUUGCCUUAAAUAUUAAAAAAUAAUAACAAUGUUUUUAUUAAUAAUAAAGAAACCAGCCAGGCAUGGUGGCACACGCCUUUAAUACCAGCACUCGGGAGGCAGAGUCAGGCAGAUUUCAGAGUUCGAGGCCAGCCUGGUCUACAAAGUGAGUUCCAGGACAGCCAGGGCUACGCAGAGAAACUCUGUCUUGAAAAGCAAAAAAAAAAAAAAAAAGAAAGAAAGAAAGAAACAAAGAAAGAAAGAAACAAAGAAAGAAAGAAAGAAAGAAACCAGAAUCCAAAGAAAUCGAUUUCCUUUAGAUUUCCUAACCUUGCCUCUGGGGAUCUUUAGCUUCCAGAAGUAGAUUCAUUUCAAGACAUUCAAGACACUUUCAGAAUGGAUAGGACUUAUACUUUUCAAAUGGAGGCUAGAGGUCUCUAACUUCCACACGGGUGGAGAGAUGAACGAGAACAGUGAGUACGAAUGGCCUGCGUGGACGACAGAACUCUCACUGCUGCUCUCUGCUGUCUGGUAAAUCCAGAUAAAUGGAGCAGGGGAAUACACUGCUGGUUUGAGAGUUUCCAAAAGGAUACAAAACAACCUUUAGGAUUUUCAAAUGCACUUGUUAUUUUAACUCCAGAAUGUAGCAUGUGAAGUGCCCGGCUGAGCCCCACCUUUAGUAAGUAGAAACACUAAUAAGUGCUGAUGAAUUCUGAUCUAGAAUAGAAACGCCAUGUUCCUUCUUAGCCUAAACUCUGCUGUUGGGAGAUACUGGCUCUGCACAGCGUGUGUCUAUAAACAUUUAAACUGUAUUCCAUAUUCUGCUAUGACCAGCCCUAGUGCAAAUGACUUUGGUUUAAAAAUGUUAAUUGUAUAUCACCACCUAGUGGUAGUGUAGGUGAAAACAUUGUAGUUAAACUUUUUUGAUAAGAUCUUCAUUGAACUGAAUGCAAUAAUUGUUCAUAAUUAUGUUUCCUAAGGCAGAAAUGACACCAAAGUCUUCCUUUUUAAAUAGUCCCUUCAGUUUCUUUGCAAAAGUAAAUCAAGUUCAUUUUGUUUCCAAAAUCUGUAGGGUUGAUGCAUUUGUAUUAAUACUUGAUUAACAAUUCUUAUCUGACCUUGAGGCAAGGGUUCUGGUCACUGCAGUUGCUAAGCUUGUAUAUAGUGGACAGAUUUGUUUUUCUUAGCCCCAGUGUUACCUAGAUACAAGUUAUGUCAUAAGGGAAAAAACAGAAGUAUGGUUUUCUUAGCAAAUAUUUUUAAGUUCUUUGAAAAUGAGGGGCUGACCAAGUUCCUCUGCCUGGGGCCAUGUCGAUUGCUCUUCCAGAUCCUCUCAGAAGCACCUCUGAGAGCUGAAGGCUCUUCUGUGUGAAGUCUUCAGUUUCUGUAAAUGUGUUUCAAAAGGAGAGUCUUCUGUAGCCCAAAAUGACCAGGAACUGAUCCUGCCUGCACCUCCCAGGUGCUAGCAGUGUAUCUAGUGUGUUCCAGCUUGCUCGGCUUCUGUGACACCUCUUACUCCAUGAAGAGUCUUGAACUGCCUGGUUACUCAGCAUAGGUCAUUGUAGCAAAACAAGGCACAAAAAUCUUUAUAGCACCCUUUGUAGAAUCAGUCUGGAAAAUGAUUUAGAGUACAUGUGCCGUCAUUUGCAUUCCUCAAAGACCUGCAUAUACUGAAAAACAACUGGAUCAAAAUUGUUGGAUCACAAGGCAUGUAAGACAUCUUAGAUUUCCCUCUAGAAGUAGUUUACCCUCCAAGAAACAGAAAACAUUAUAUAUAAUUAAGUAUAUAAUACAUAUUUUAAAUAAAAUAUAUAUACAUGAAUAUAUGUGCGCAUAUAUACAUAUAUAUGUGUAUAUAUGUAUGUAUACAUAUCAUCCCUUACAGCCUCGCCAAUGCCAGUAUUUACAGUAUUAACCUGAUUCAGUAGCCCCAAAGUGCAGUAUCAUUUUUUGAUUUUAGUUUGUUACCACCAGGAUUGACCUUGACUAUAAAAGAAAAAUUUAUAUUUAUUAGCUACCUUUAAUCCUAGCACUUGAGAGGCAAGGCAGGCAGAUCUCCGUGAGUUUGAGGCCAGCCUGGUCUACAGAGCAAGUUCCAGAACAACCAGGACUACACAGGGAAACCCUUUCUUGAGAAUAACAAAAUAAAAACUAAUAAGUGCUGCCAUUUGUGACUUCUUUGAGUACAGGAGUAAUUGGGGGCUGAGGAUGUAAGUCAGAGUGGUCACUUGAGCAUCCUGCCCAUGACACUGUGGCCAUUCUAGCCCUGCAACAAUAGAUGACAAGGAGGGAGGGAGUGUGAAAAAUGACCAUACCAUGAUAUGCCAUUCACACAGCCUGGUGGCAUGAACGAAGCUUAAACAGAGUAUUACAAGUAGAUAAAUGUCUGCCAUGGUGACCCUGACCCUGAGACACUGUUUCGUUGCCAGCGUGUGUCCUGUCGUUGUGAAGGGGAAUGAAGAAGGUGGGAGCUAGCCUUUACAUACUUGGCUAAUUGAGGUGCACCAGUCACUUGCAGCAUGUCAUUCUUCUAUAAGCCUCUCUUUCUACCAAGGAGCAAGCAACCAUAAAAUACCCUUUAUUCCAUAAGUGGAGAGAGGGCCUGGGGAUUAAGAGCAGAGCACUAAUUGCUCUUGCAGAGGACCUAGGUUCAAUUCCCAGCAUCCACAUGGUGACUCACAACCUCCAUGUCUCCAGUUCCAGGGGAUUCCAAACCUUCUCCCUGACCACUGCAGGACCAGGCACAGGUGUGCUGCAGUGCAUCACUAAAUGAAACACUCAUGUAAAAUAUACAAAGAAUAAAUCUAGUUUUAAAAUGUGUUUCAUUUUUAAAAACAGGAAUCCCUUACCUUUCCUCAGCCCUUGUUGCCUGUCCAUCAGCUACUUUAAACACAGAGUCCUCUCAUUCUGCUUACAGGAACAGGUCUUCAUUUUAGGCACCAAGUGUGCCUCCCUCCCAGUAGAUGAUAGACCCGAGGUAGAGAAGGGAAUGUGAGAGGAAUAUUUCCUUUCUCACAAAUGCUAUUCUGCCUAACUAGAUCCUCUUUGCUGUGUGCACUGGUGUGCAGCUGGCCUGUUGGAACAGUUACCAUGGUUUUGUGUGUCUGAGUUUCUUGUGGUUUUGAUCUGGGUAAAUACUCUUGGCCUGCAGGGGUUAUGGCUAUAUGCUACCUUAGCUAUGUGUGUUAAAUAAAAGUAUGGACAAUGGCCUAGUUCUACCAAAUGGGCAAAUGUUUACUAGAAAUAAGACCACAUAUGAUGUGUUUCAUAGCCUGCUCUUGUAGCUUAGAGAAAGCCCAAGGAAGGUGGUACACAGUCCACACCUGCAACCCUGUCAGCUCAUUCCACCACGAAAGCCCUUUCCUGAAAUUCCUUACUGCUUUUAUUAACCAGUUCUUGGGAUGGAUUUUAGUAGAAAGUGUAAGUCACUGUACCUAUUGAUUCCAUCCAUCCUGUGUAAUGCUGCCCAUGCUGUUCAGCCAUAGGCUGAUGGUCCAAUGCUGUUCAGCCAUAGGCUGAUGGUCCAAAAAGGAGUUUUCAGCCUGACAGCAAACAGGAUUUUACAGUCAGAAUUCAUUCUUAGAGAUGGGACAUGGAGCUUAGUAUAUUGUAAAAUACCAGAGAACAUUUGGUUUUGUAGAAGGUCCCUGGGUUUUUAUACUAAAUAUCACUUUAUAAAAUCUUGACCAAAUGUGAAGUGUUUUAAUAACUUACAUGGGAAUCUCAUUGAAGUUCAUAGACGAUUUAGAGAAAAUUGAGGUGCGUGUUUGAAACUCCAUGUGAUUAAAAAAAUCUAAAACAGCAUGAACACCACCACCCCCCAACCGAAAAAACAAAAAACAAAACAAAACAACUCACACAAACUCAUUCUUGGAGCUUGGCUGCCUAGUCUGUGUGUUCUCUUGCAAGUGUCCUCCCCUAGGCCCACCCCCACUUUCUGGUUGCCUGGGGUUCUGUUGCUCAGCUAUCCAUGUUUUAGCCCUGUGCCUUUGUCUGGGCUAAGUGACACAGAAGUUAGGUAAGCAGCAGGGUUUACCCGUCCCAUGGAACCACAGGGCAGACGGUGCCUCUAGUCUCUGAGGAAGAUCUCCAGUGUCUCCUUACAGAGCUGGCUCCUGUGUGUCCUGUUGCAGUUGCUUCUGCUUGGGGCUUUUGCUCCCUGGCUUGUGAGGGGAGAGAGAGAGAUCGGAGA